rnacentral:rRNA from 1 species
CCUACGGGAGGCAGCAGUGGGGAAUAUUGCACAAUGGGGGAAACCCUGAUGCAGCGACGCCGCGUGAGUGAUGAAGGAUUUCGGUAUGUAAAGCUCUAUCAGCAGGGAAGAAAGUGACGGUACCUGACUAAUUCUCCCUGUCUCACUACGUGCCAGCAGCCGCGGGAACACGUAGGGGGCAAGCGUUAUCCGGAUUUACUGGGCGUAAAGGGAGCGUAGACGGUUUUGCAAGUCAGCUGUGAAAGCGCGGGGCUCAACCCCGGGACUGCAUUUGAAACUGUAAGGCUAGAGUGUAGGAGAGGCAGGCGGAAUUCCAGGUGUAGCGGUGAAAUGCGUAGAUAUUAGGAGGAACACCAGUGGCGAAGGCGGCGUGCUGGACGGUAACUGACGUUGAGGCUCGAAAGCGUGGGGAGCAAACAGGAUUAGAUACCCGUGUAGUC